rnacentral:rRNA from 1 species
UUUUUUAAUUGGAGACUGGGAUGAAUGGUAGAAACUAAGAGGAAUGUUUUAUUUUAUAAAUUUGAAUUUAAAUUAGGAAUAAAAAUAUUUUUAUAAAUUCUUGGGACGAGAAGACCCUAGAAGCUUAAAAUUGAAAUAUUUUUAGUUGGGGCAAUUUUUGAAGAAAAAAAUUUUUAUUAGGGUGUAUAAUUUUUGAUAAUAAAGUUACUCUAGGGAUAACAGCGUUAUUUAAUUGAUAAGUUCUUAUUAAUAAUUAAGUUUGCGACCUCGAUGUUGAAUUAAUU